AGAGUUUGAUCAUGGCUCAGAUUGAACGCUGGCGGCAGGCCUAACACAUGCAAGUCGAGCGGAUGAAGGGAGCUUGCUCCUGGAUUCAGCAGCGGACGGGUGAGUAAUGCCUAGGAAUCUGCCUGGUAGUGGGGGAUAACGUCCGGAAACGGGCGCUAAUACCGCAUACGUCCUGAGGGAGAAAGUGGGGGAUCUUCGGACCUCACGCUAUCAGAUGAGCCUAGGUCGGAUUAGCUAGUUGGUGGGGUAAAGGCCUACCAAGGCGACGAUCCGUAACUGGUCUGAGAGGAUGAUCAGUCACACUGGAACUGAGACACGGUCCAGACUCCUACGGGAGGCAGCAGUGGGGAAUAUUGGACAAUGUGCGAAAGCCUGAUCCAGCCAUGCCGCGUGUGUGAAGAAGGUCUUCGGAUUGUAAAGCACUUUAAGUUGGGAGGAAGGGCAGUAAGUUAAUACCUUGCUGUUUUGACGUUACCAACAGAAUAAGCACCGGCUAACUUCGUGCCAGCAGCCGCGGUAAUACGAAGGGUGCAAGCGUUAAUCGGAAUUACUGGGCGUAAAGCGCGCGUAGGUGGUUCAGCAAGUUGGAUGUGAAAUCCCCGGGCUCAACCUGGGAACUGCAUCCAAAACUACUGAGCUAGAGUACGGUAGAGGGUGGUGGAAUUUCCUGUGUAGCGGUGAAAUGCGUAGAUAUAGGAAGGAACACCAGUGGCGAAGGCGACCACCUGGACUGAUACUGACACUGAGGUGCAAAAGCGUGGGGAGCAAACAGGAUUAGAUACCCUGGUAGUCCACGCCGUAAACGAUGUCGACUAGCCGUUGGGAUCCUUGAGAUCUUAGUGGCGCAGCUAACGCGAUAAGUCGACCGCCUGGGGAGUACGGCCGCAAGGUUAAAACUCAAAUGAAUUGACGGGGGCCCGCACAAGCGGUGGAGCAUGUGGUUUAAUUCGAAGCAACGCGAAGAACCUUACCUGGCCUUGACAUGCUGAGAACUUUCCAGAGAUGGAUUGGUGCCUUCGGGAACUCAGACACAGGUGCUGCAUGGCUGUCGUCAGCUCGUGUCGUGAGAUAUUGGGUUAAGUCCCGUAACGAGCGCAACCCUUGUCCUUAGUUACCAGCACCUCGGGUGGGCACUCUAAGGAGACUGCCGGUGACAAACCGGAGGAAGGUGGGGACGACGUCAAGUCAUCAUGGCCCUUACGGCCAGGGCUACACACGUGCUACAAUGGUCGGUACAAAGGGUUGCCAAGCCGCGAGGUGGAGCUAAUCCCAUAAAACCGAUCGUAGUCCGGAUCGCAGUCUGCAACUCGACUGCGUGAAGUCGGAAUCGCUAGUAAUCGUGAAUCAGAAUGUCACGGUGAAUACGUUCCCGGGCCUUGUACACACCGCCCGUCACACCAUGGGAGUGGGUUGCUCCAGAAGUAGCUAGUCUAACCGCAAGGGGGACGGUUACCACGGAGUGAUUCAUGACUGGGGUGAAGUCGGAACAAGGUAGCCGUAGGGGAACCUGCGGCUG
rnacentral:rRNA from 1 species